rnacentral:rRNA from 1 species
GUAGGGUGCAAGCGUUAUCCGGAGUUAUUGGGCGUAAAGGGUUCGUAGGCUUUCAAGCAAGUUGUUCUUUAAAGACCGAGGCUCAACCUCGGAAAGGGGAGCAAAACUACUUGAAUUGGAAGGUUUCGGGGCUACUGGAACUUAUCGUGUAGGAGUGAAAUCCGUUGAUAUGAUAAGGAACACCGAGGGCGAAGGCAAGUAGCUAGGAACACUUCGACGCUGAGGGACGAAAGCCAGGGUAGCGAAAGGGAUUAGAGACCCCUGUAGUCCUGGCCGUAAACGAUGCUCGCUAGGGAUGGGAACCUUUAAUGGUUUCCGUCUCGUUAGCUAACGCGUUAAGCGAGCCGCCUGGGGAGUACGAGCGCAAGCUUA